GAUGAAGAACACAGCGAAAUGCGAUACGUAAUGUGAAUUGCAGAAUUCAGUGAAUCAUCGAAUCUUUGAACGCAUAUUGCGCUCUCUGGUAUUCCGGAGAGCAUGCUUGUUUGAGUAUCAGUAAACACCUCAACUUCCAUAUCUUUUUUGAAAUGGGAGUUGGACUUGAGUGAUCCCAACGCUUUUCCUCACCGAAAAGUGGCGGGUUACUUGAAAUGCAGGUGCAGCUGGACUUUUCUCUGAGCUAUAAGCAUAUCUAUUUAGUCUGCCUAAAAAACAGAUUAUUACCUUUGCUGCAGCUAACAUAAAGGAGAUUAGUUCUUGUGCUGACUGAUGCAGGAUUCACAAAGACAGGCUUCGGCCGACUUUGUAAACUCGAUCUCAAAUCAAGUAAGACUACCCGCUGAACUUAAGCAUAUCAAUAAGCGGAGGA
rnacentral:misc_RNA from 1 species